GCUGAUGAUGAUAAAG
rnacentral:sRNA from 1 species